rnacentral:rRNA from 1 species
GUCCACGCCGUAAACGAUGAUUGCUAGUUGUCAGCCGGCAUGCCGGUUGGUGACGCAGCUAACGCAUUAAGCAAUCCGCCUGGGGAGUACGGUCGCAAGAUUAAAACUCAAAGGAAUUGACGGGGGCCCCGCACAAGCGGUGGAGCAUGUGGUUUAAUUCGAAGCAACGCGCAGAACCUUACCACCUUUUGACAUGCCUGGACAUCCCGAGAGAUCGGGCUUUCCCUCGGGGACUGGGACACAGGUGCUGCAUGGCUGUCGU